UACGUAGGGUGCAAGCGUUGUCCGGAAUUAUUGGGCGUAAAGAGCUCGUAGGCGGUUUGUUGCGUCGGCUGUGAAAACCCGAGGCUCAACCUCGGGCCUGCAGUCGAUACGGGCAAACUAGAGUGUUGCAGGGGAGACUGGAAUUCCUGGUGUAGCGGUGAAAUGCGCAGAUAUCAGGAGGAACACCGGUGGCGAAGGCGGGUCUCUGGGCAACAACUGACGCUGAGGAGCGAAAGCGUGGGGAGCGAACAGG
rnacentral:rRNA from 1 species